rnacentral:rRNA from 1 species
GAUGAACGCUGGCGGCGUGCCUAAUACAUGCAAGUCGAGCGAACGGACGAGAAGCUUGCUUCUCUGAUGUUAGCGGCGGACGGGUGAGUAACACGUGGAUAACCUACCUAUAAGACUGGGAUAACUUCGGGAAACCGGAGCUAAUACCGGAUAAUAUUUUGAACAGCAUGGUUCAAAAGUGAAAGACGGUCUUGCUGUCACUUAUAGAUGGAUCCGCGCUGCAUUAGCUAGUUGGUAAGGUAACGGCCUACCAAGGCAACGAUGCAUAGCCGACCUGAGAGGGUGAUCGGACACACUGGAACUGAGACACGGUCCAGACUCCUACGGGAGGCAGCAGUAGGGAAUCUUCCGCAAUGGGCGAAAGCCUGACGGAGCAACGCCGCGUGAGUGAUGAAGGUCUUCGGAUCGUAAAACUCUGUUAUUAGGGAAGAACAUAUGUGUAAGUAACUGUGCACAUCUUGACGGUACCUAAUCAGAAAGCCACGGCUAACUACGUG